GCUCAUCCCCAAGUAGUCUAGAACUUUCCUCACCUCUCCUUCUAAAUCAUCCUCAAACCCAUCCUCUGUUUCUUCCUCUUUCCCCCCGCUAUUUAAACAGAACCUUUCAAUUCUCCACCGGCCAACAGCGCCCCAACUUUCCGACAACCAAACCGAUCCCAAUUCCGAACAAACAAACGAACCCAAUCCUUAAAACUAAUCGGAAUCAAUCUUUUUGAAUUCUUUUCUGACUACCCUUUGACUGGAAUGAAAAGCUCUCCCCUGUAUCUGAUGAUCUGAUCCCCCCCCCCCAAUUUUCGCUUCCGCUUCAGUGAACAGAGAACUCUGCUCUGUUUCUCACUCUGCGGGGACUCUCCGGCCGUUCCCAUUACCGGUUUACACGUUUGGGUAUUCGGGCUCGAUGAAUCUUUUGAGCCCGGUGAAACAAGAGUACCACGGAGGAGGUCCGAGCUCCAGGUCCUCUGACCCGGGCGGCAGUGGCGGGGGAGGUGGCGGAGGAGACAGGCCGCCGAUGAUGCCGGAGCCGAUGGAGGGCCUGCACGAGGUGGGGCCGCCGCCGUUCCUUACCAAGACGUAUGACAUCGUCGACGACCCCAGCACGGACCACGUAGUAUCGUGGAGUGCGACGGGCAGCAGCUUCGUGGUGUGGGACCCGAACGAGUUCGCCGCCCAUCUCCUCCCCAGAUAUUUCAAGCACAAUAACUUCUCCAGCUUCGUCCGGCAGCUCAACACUUACGGCUUCCGGAAGAUCGAUCCCGACCAGUGGGAGUUCGCGAAUGAGGGCUUCCUUCGAGGGCACAGGCACCUUGUCAAGACAAUUAAGAGGAGAAAGCCGCCCCCCAACUCCUCAACUCAGCAAGCUGUUGGACUCUGUGUCGGGGUCGGGCGGUUUGGUACAGACGGGGAGGCCGAUCGAUUGAGGCGUGACAAGCAGGUCUUAAUGAUGGAGCUGGUGAAGCUGAGGCAGCAGCAGCAGAACACAGUGUUGUUCCUUCAGUCUAUGGAGGAAAGGCUCCGAGGGACCGAGAAGAAGCAGAAGCAGAUGAUGGCGUUCUUGGCCCGGGCAAUGAGGAGUCCUACAUUCUUGAACCAGUUGCUCCAGCAGAAGGAGAAGAGGAAGGAGCUGGAAGAGGCCAUCACGAAGAAGCGCAGGCGACCGAUCGAUCAUGGGCCCUCAUCGAGCCAAGGAGUGGCCGAAGCUGCGGCUGCGGCAGUGGCUUCUAUGGGCUCGGUGAAGGCUGAGCCUAUUGAGCUCAGGAAACAUGGAGCGGAGGUCUCCGAGCUCGAGGCCCUUGCUUUGGAGAUGCAGGGCCUCAGGAGGGCUAAGCAAGGCGGAGCCAAGGGGAAUCUAGAAGGGGAAGGAGGCCUAGGGGAGGCUGAGAACUUGGACAAGGAACUUGACGAGGGGUUCUGGGAAGAACUCCUGUGCGAGAGGUUGGAUGAGGAGGAUGAAGAAGAUGAGGAUGUCGAUGUAUUAGCUGAUCGAUUAGGUUACUUGGGCUCGAGCCUGAAGUAACGGGCCCGAGGAUAUAGGUAAGGAGGCUCAUUUUUGUCUUGAUCAGCCUCCGAGCACUGGUACUUUGUUGGGGCUUUUCGGGUCAGCUGAGUUCACAUGUGGGAGGAGGGACGGGCUAUAAGUAAUUAGGCCAUUGCUGCUCAGGUUAGGAUGAUCGUAGUACCGUCUGAUGGACAGCAGAGGAUAGAAGGGAGACGGUUUUGGCUCUGGAUUCGUUGUUUCUAACUUACUCUUUAAAUUUAUGUCAGCAUACUAUUCUUUGCAUGUAGUUUUUGAUUGCUUUGAUGAUCUCUGUGUCCUUAUAGGUUGCUGAGUUGCAGAUUCUACCAGUAGCUCCUGAUUUUGUACCCGAAGAACGUUCCGAGGCUCGGUAUAGUUUGAUGUUCCUAGACAGAUAGAAAUAUCAUUUCAUCAUGUGAUGUAUUUUCUUGGUCUUGAUUUAAUGUAGAUCUCUGAGAAGCUCCUUCGGUAUUACAGCCUUGCUGCUUUGCUGCGAACUGAUGCUCUCGAAUGUGACAUGGCAGGGCGCCGAUGCUCUGAGACUGAUUCCAUCCACGUAAGUUGAGUGGUGAGAUAAUCAAAAGACAAGAUGUCUAAUACUGGUGAUUUGGAGAAGGAGCCGAAUAAACGCUCUGAGUUAGAACAGAAUAGUGGGAAGGAAGGGGAGCUGCCGCCCGUUUAUCAACUCGGGACCGCGGAUGGAGCGGUAGCAUUAUUGAUCAGUUGCAAUCGGAAGGGAGACAACUAUCACACAUGGUCCUGGGCCAUGUUAACCGCUCUCAGAGCAAAGAGCAAGCUGCCUUUUAUCACGGGGACAUAGGUAAAGUCGGAGGAGGAGGACCCACUUAGAGAAAGGUGGGGGGUCUGCAAUUUGACAAUUAUCGCUUGGAUUUUCAAUACUGUGGCAGAGGAUAUUCAGGCAAAGGUAUUCGCAGGGCCAUCAAUAAGUCCAAUGGUGGAGCAUGCCGCGACAAAGGGAAACGGCAGUAUGGAGCGGGCCGUGGAGGCCCAGCCCGGGCACAUGCAGUCCAGGGAGCAGCCUCUAGCAGAAUCGGGCAAAUAGACCCUUUUCCACACUACUUUCCAGAAUUUCCUGAAUAUGAUCGAGGGCAAUACUGAUCCAAGAGACUUAUUGGUAACGCAUCAAAAUUUGUGAAAUUAUAUAAUGAGUGGAUAUUGGAUACAGGAGCGUCGAGGCACAUGACUCGAUGUCUCGAUUGGUUUUCAAAUCCAUUGCCCAUUGAGAAUUUUCCGGUCUACAUACCGAAUGGAGGGAGAGUUCAGGCUACCAAAGCCGGAACAGUGAAGAUUACAGAUUUAUUGACAUUAUCUAAUGUUUUGUUUGUGUCAUCUUUUAAUUGCAAUUAAUUUCUAUAGCACAAUUAUCGGAGGA